rnacentral:piRNA from 1 species
UGAUCUAGACUUCUCUGUGUCUGCGGUAGC